UUUGUUUGUAAGUUCCUCAACCAUGAUCUGUUAAUCCUAGCCACAAAAAACAUAUUUUUUUUAAUGCAAAUAAAGAUACAAAAUAUUGAAUUUGAAGAAUAAACAACUAAAAAAUUGAUCUGCAAAAUUAAAUAAAUAAAUAAAUCCAAAGCUCUGGUUGAUUAAUUACUUCCACUGCCCCUUGACAGCAAACUUGAAGCCCUUGUUCUUUCUGGCCGCCACCUUAGCAGUUGAUUUCGCUUGCUCUUCAAUGGCUUCCCUAAUCAACUUUUCCUGCUCUUUUAUCGGCAAAAACCCGUUUUCGCCGUAAAUAUUUUCCUCCAUCCCGUAAUCUCCAUAAUACGGAUUCUUUACCGAAACCCGAAAACUUUUUCCGGCUUCCAUUACGUCUUGUUUGUUCUUACAACUUUUCAACAUGUUACACCGUGGCUUUUUCCAAACAUCCAUGCAAUCUCUUCUUUUCGUCGAAUAUCAGAAAAAAAAAAUGAAUGAUUAAUAUCAAAUAUAUGAUGUUUAUGCAUCUAUAUGUAUAUAUAUAGAUACAACAUUGUAUAUAUCAAGAAUUAUAUAUAUAGAAGAAUGAAGAUUUGCACUUUAUUAAGGGGUUGGUG
rnacentral:lncRNA from 1 species